rnacentral:rRNA from 2 species
GACGAACGCUGGCGGCGUGCUUAACACAUGCAAGUCGAGCGGUAAGGCCUUUCGGGGUACACGAGCGGCGAACGGGUGAGUAACACGUGGGUGAUCUGCCCUGCACUUCGGGAUAAGCCUGGGAAACUGGGUCUAAUACCGGAUAUGACCUCCUAUCGCAUGGUGGGUGGUGGAAAGAUUUAUCGGUGCAGGAUGGGCCCGCGGCCUAUCAGCUUGUUGGUGGGGUAAUGGCCUACCAAGGCGACGACGGGUAGCCGACCUGAGAGGGUGACCGGCCACACUGGGACUGAGACACGGCCCAGACUCCUACGGGAGGCAGCAGUGGGGAAUAUUGCACAAUGGGCGAAAGCCUGAUGCAGCGACGCCGCGUGAGGGAUGACGGCCUUCGGGUUGUAAACCUCUUUCAGCAGGGACGAAGCGCAAGUGACGGUACCUGCAGAAGAAGCACCGGCUAACUACGUGCCAGCAGCCGCGGUAAUACGUAGGGUGCAAGCGUUGUCCGGAAUUACUGGGCGUAAAGAGUUCGUAGGCGGUUUGUCGCGUCGUUUGUGAAAACCAGCAGCUCAACUGCUGGCUUGCAGGCGAUACGGGCAGACUUGAGUACUGCAGGGGAGACUGGAAUUCCUGGUGUAGCGGUGAAAUGCGCAGAUAUCAGGAGGAACACCGGUGGCGAAGGCGGGUCUCUGGGCAGUAACUGACGCUGAGGAACGAAAGCGUGGGUAGCGAACAG